rnacentral:rRNA from 1 species
CCCUCCCUCUUGACGAACUGUGAUGCCAUUAAUUUGGUGUCGCAGGGAAUCAGGACUGUUACUUUGAAAAAAUUAGAGUGUUUAAAGCAGGCUUUCGCUUGAAUACAUUAGCAUGGAAUAAUGAAAUAGGACGUUUGAUCCUAUUUUGUUGGUUUCUAGGAUUGACGUAAUGAUUAAUAGGGAUAGUUGGGGGCAUUAGUAUUCAAUUGUCAGAGGUGAAAUUCUUGGAUUUAUUGAAGACUAACUACUGCGAAAGCAUUUGCCAAGGAUGUUUUCAUUAAUCAAGAACGAAAGUUAGGGGAUCGAAGACGAUCAGAUACCGUCGUAGUCUUAACCAUAAACUAUGCCGACUAGGGAUCGGAUGAUGUUAAUUUUUUAAUGGCUCAUUCGGCGCCUUACG